CUCGCCGUGGAUUGUAUUUUUAACGUGUGCCCCAUUUUUUAUAAUUAUUUAGGACGUGGCCGGUGACAGUUGAUAUAAGGGAUAGUUAAUCGGGUAAAAAUUCAAAAUAUUUAAUUGAACCGGAAUACAAAAAAUACAACUUGUACAACUGGCGUAUUUUUUCUAACCGGAAAGUAAAAAAACAAAGCAGCCACCAUGGACGCGAUCAAGAAGAAGAUGCAGGCGAUGAAGCUGGAGAAGGACAAUGCCAUGGACAAGGCAGACACCUGCGAGCAGCAGGCCAGGGACGCCAACCUCCGUGCCGAGAAGGUCAAUGAGGAAGUCCGUGAACUCCAGAAGAAGCUCCUCCAGGUGGAAGAGGACUUGGCUCUCAACAAGAACAAGUUGGAGCAGGCCAACAAGGACCUGGAAGAGAAGGAGAAGCAGCUCACCGCUACUGAGGCGGAGGUGGCGGCCCUCAACAGAAAGGUGCAGCAGAUUGAAGAGGACCUGGAGAAGUCAGAAGAGAGGUCUGGCACCGCCCAGCAGAAACUUCUAGAAGCACAACAGUCCGCUGACGAAAACAACCGUAUGUGCAAAGUGUUGGAGAACAGAGCACAGCAGGAUGAGGAGCGUAUGGACCAACUCACCAACCAGCUGAAGGAGGCCCGUCUCCUCGCUGAGGACGCUGACGGCAAAUCCGACGAGGUAUCCCGCAAGCUGGCCUUCGUUGAAGACGAGCUUGAAGUAGCUGAAGACCGUGUCAAAUCUGGUGAUGCCAAGAUUUCGGAACUUGAGGAGGAAUUGAAGGUCGUAGGUAACUCCCUUAAAUCACUGGAGGUCUCAGAAGAGAAGGCCAACCAGCGUGUAGAAGAAUUCAAAAAGCAAUUGAAGACCCUCACCUCCAAACUGAAGGAAGCUGAGGCUCGCGCCGAAUACGCAGAAAAGACCGUCAAGAAACUACAGAAGGAAGUCGACAGGCUCGAAGACUCGUUGUUCAACGAUAAGGAGAAAUACAAGGCGAUAUGUGACGACCUCGAUGGCACAUUCGCCGAGUUGACAGGAUACUAACUUCCCUUAGCACUUAGUUUAAGACAGUACCGUCCUUUAGCUGUCUCCAUAUUAGAAACUCGAAAUUUAGCCUUUAAAUUUUACCGCCCUAGAUCAGUUUUACGUGUUUAUUGGGAAGUCGUCAUAAUAUGUUCUAGAUUGCUAAUAACUUCUCUUUAAUCCUAACCCCAUCGAUAUUUAGAGGAUUGUCCUUAACCUAGACAAAUAACGAAUCGCGGACAAUCCUUUAGAAAUCGCCUUCAUACAAUAAACCUUGCUUUCUGUGUUGUGAUUAAUAUGUCUUACGCUUUGCUGCUACCGCCGUGGACCAAUGCUUCUAAGACGAGCUGGGAAUCAACAAGGACAGAUACAAGAGCCUCGCGGACGAAAUGGACUCCACCUUCGCCGAAUUGGCCGGAUACUAAACACACCCGAUGCAGCCGCGCUGCUAUACGAACUCUUCUACUCGUGAUGUAAUUUAUUAAUAUUUAUGUAAAUUUAUUUACGAUUUUCAAUAAAAUUAUUUAUAACAUCUU